rnacentral:rRNA from 1 species
CAGUCGCCGCGGGAAUACGAAGGGGGCUAGCGUUGUUCGGAAUUACUGGGCGUAAAGCGCACGUAGGCGGACAUUUAAGUCAGGGGUGAAAUCCCGGGGCUCAACCCCGGAACUGCCUUUGAUACUGGGUGUCUAGAGUAUGGAAGAGGUGAGUGGAAUUCCGAGUGUAGAGGUGAAAUUCGUAGAUAUUCGGAGGAACACCAGUGGCGAAGGCGGCUCACUGGUCCAUUACUGACGCUGAGGUGCGAAAGCGUGGGGAGCAAACAGGAUUAGAUACCCCAGUAGUCCCUGUCUCUUAUAA